AUUGAACGCUGGCGGCAGGCCUAACACAUGCAAGUCGAGCGGAUGACGGGAGCUUGCUCCUUGAUUCAGCGGCGGACGGGUGAGUAAUGCCUAGGAAUCUGCCUGGUAGUGGGGGACAACGUUUUGAAAGGAACGCUAAUACCGCAUACGUCCUACGGGAGAAAGCAGGGGACCUUCGGGCCUUGCGCUAUCAGAUGAGCCUAGGUCGGAUUAGCUAGUUGGUGGGGUAAUGGCUCACCAAGGCGACGAUCCGUAACUGGUCUGAGAGGAUGAUCAGUCACACUGGAACUGAGACACGGUCCAGACUCCUACGGGAGGCAGCAGUGGGGAAUAUUGGACAAUGGGCGAAAGCCUGAUCCAGCCAUGCCGCGUGUGUGAAGAAGGUCUUCGGAUUGUAAAGCACUUUAAGUUGGGAGGAAGGGCAGUAAGUUAAUACCUUGCUGUUUUGACGUUACCGACAGAAUAAGCACCGGCUAACUCUGUACCAGCCGCCGCCGUAA
rnacentral:rRNA from 1 species